UACGGGGGGGGCAAGCGUUGUUCGGAAUUACUGGGCGUAAAGGGCUCGUAGGCGGCCAACUAAGUCAGACGUGAAAUCCCUCGGCUUAACCGGGGAACUGCGUCUGAUACUGGAUGGCUUGAGUUUGGGAGAGGGAUGCGGAAUUCCAGGUGUAGCGGUGAAAUUCGUAGAUAUCGAGAGGAACACCGGUGGCGAAGGCGGCCUUCUGGACAGUGACUGACGCUGAGACGCGAAAGCGUGGGGAGCAAACAGG
rnacentral:rRNA from 1 species